GGGUCAGUAGGUUGGUCGUGCCACCGGUACGUACUGGUCUCACUGAUUCCUCCUUCCUGAAGAACCGUAAUGCCAUUAAUUUGGUGUUGCGGGGAAACAGGACUGUUACUUUGAAACAAUUAGAGUGUUUAAAGCAAGCUAACGCUUGAAUACAUUAGCAUGGAGUAAUGAAAUAGGACGAUCGAUCCUAUUUUGUUGGUUUCUAGGAUUGACGUA
rnacentral:rRNA from 1 species